rnacentral:lncRNA from 1 species
ACGUUGGUGGCAACUGGACGAAAUCAGUGAGCAACAUGGACUUGAGUGGUUUUACAAAUAGAUUACUGUACAAAUUUUUCCUUUCCAACAAGACACGAAUGUCAUAUAUGGAAACGCCAGAGAUGUUCGUCAACCACCUCUGUGAUCAUGGCCUGGUGGAGGAGAAAUUCAAGAAAGUGAUGAAGUCUAAGAUGAAGAACAAAAGAGUAUACGAGAUUUUGGAUAACCUGACGGUUCAAUCCAAAAAAAUAAAGACUUUCUGGAGUUGUGUCUUCAAAAAGCACAUGCUGCAGCAAUACCCUACUCUCCAAGAGCUCUACAAUGAACUUGAGAGUAAAAAACUUGAAAAGGGCCAACAGAACGUUAUCAGGAAACGUUCCAAGGACAAUGCAAAUAUUCCUGUCAAAUGUGGGAGAAAAUACGGGAUGCUGAACAAAGAGAAGCUUGCUAAAGGGGAGAAGUGCAUUAUGGUAGGGAAUACAUGUUACCAUCCAAUAGAAUUUGAAGAGUUUGGAGGCAAAGGAAAUCGCAAGAACUGGAAAAGCAGCAUCCGCUACCGGGGUAAACCCCUGCUAAAACUGUUCAAGGAGGGUCAUCUGUCAGCUCCACGUCAGAAAAGAAGACCAAAAAUGGAGAGGACCUCAAGUUAAGGCCAAACUCUGCCAUCCUUCUCCAGCACCAGUGAGGGAAACGGCCCUUCAACAGGAGGAUUCAUUAGAUCAAGAUCAUUAUCUGUCAAUUAUCGUAUGUCAGUUGAUGCCAGCCGGUCCUACAGACAGAUCUCUGUAUCUGUCUGUCUCUACUUCUUUUCAUUAUAACAUUUUAUAAGGGUUUUUUUUUUCUAUUUUAUCUACAGUUUAAUUGUUUUUGCUGUUUCUGUUAAAUGUUCAUCACUUUACCAGUUAUUACGCAGUUAUUAUAAAUUCAAUUUUUUGCUAUUUACAAGUUUCUACAGUCUUGAUGGCGGAUGGCGGAUGCAUUGAACACUAAUCAGCUGCAUGCUGGGCACAGGUACUCCUUGUCCACUGGAGGAUGCUGGACACAGCUUACAUGAAACCACCAUUUACAACUGUCACAGC